rnacentral:rRNA from 1 species
AGUGAACGCUGGCGGCAGGUCUAACACAUGCAAGUCGAGCGGCAGCGCGUCCGACCACCCUCGGGUGGUCGGAUGGCGGCGAGCGGCGGACGGGUGAGGAAUGCACCGGAAUCUGCCUCGUUGUGGGGGAUAACGUAGGGAAACUUACGCUAAUACCGCAUACGACCUACGGGUGAAAGUGGGGGACCUUCGGGCCUCACGCGAUGAGAUGAGCCGAUGCCGGAUUAGCUAGUUGGCGGGGUAAAGGCCCACCAAGGCGACGAUCCGUAGCUGGUCUGAGAGGAUGAUCAGCCACACUGGAACUGAGACACGGUCCAGACUCCUACGGGAGGCAGCAGUGGGGGAAUCUUAGACAAUGGGCGCAAGCCUGAUCUAGCCAUGCCGCGUGGACGAUGAAGGCCUUAGGGUUGUAAAGUCCUUUCAGAUGGGAAGAUAAUGACGGUACCAUCAGAAGAAGCCCCCGGCUAACUCCGUGCCAGCAGCCGCGGUAAAGUAGACGU